AUGUCAGAAGCAAGAUAGAAGGGAAGCCAUUUUGCUGCUAUGAUUGUGUGAAAUGUCCAUAUGGGAAGAUUUCCAACCAAGAAGACAUGGAUGAAUGCUUUCAAUGUCCAGAAGAUCAGUACCCUAAUAAGAAGCGGGAUUAUUGUCUCCCCAAAAUUAUAACAUUUUUGAAGUAUGAAGAAACUUUGGGAACUAUAUUGGCCAGUUCUGCUCUUUUCUUUGCUUUGGUCACAGCUACAAUCCUCUGGAUCUUUAUUAAGCAUCAGGACACUCCCAUUGUCAAAGCCAACAACCGGAAUCUCACCUAUGCUCUCCUUGUUGGUCUCAUGUUGUCUUUUCUUUGUUCAUUGUUAUUCCUAGGAAAACCUGGCAAGAUGCUGACAUGAAUUCAGUGGUAGAAGAAAUCAUACUAGAAUGUAACGAAGGAUCUGUCUUCAUGUUCUACUGUAUCUUGGGCUAUAUGGGUCUCCUUGCUAUUAUCAGCUUUACAGUGGCUUUCCUAGCCAGGAAUUUGCCUGAUGUUUUCAAUGAAGCCAAGUUUAUCACCUUCA